rnacentral:rRNA from 1 species
AACGAACGCUGGCGGCAGGCUUAACACAUGCAAGUCGAGCGCCCCGCAAGGGGAGCGGCAGACGGGUGAGUAACGCGGGGGAAUCUACCGUGCCCUACGGAAUAGCUCCGGGAAGCUGGAAUUAAUACCGUAUACGCCCUACGGGGGAAAGAUUUAUCGGGGUAUGAUGAGCCCGCGUUGGAUUAGCUAGUUGGUGGGGUAAAGGCCUACCAAGGCGACGGUCCAUAGCUGGUCUGAGAGGAUGAGCAGCCACAUUGGGACCGAGACACGGCCCAAACUCCUACGGGAGGCAGCAGUGGGGAAUAUUGGACAAUGGGCGCAAGCCUGAUCCAGCCAUGCCGCGUGAGUGAUGAAGGUCUUAGGAUUGUAAAGCUCUUUCACCGGUGAAGAUAAUGACGGUAACCGGAGAAGAAGCCCCGGCUAACUUCGUGCCAGCCGCCGCGGUAAAAC